rnacentral:rRNA from 1 species
AUUGAACGCUGGCGGCAGGCCUAACACAUGCAAGUCGAGCGGAUGAAGGGAGCUUGCUCCUGGAUUCAGCGGCGGACGGGUGAGUAAUGCCUAGGAAUCUGCCUGGUAGUGGGGGAUAACGUCCGGAAACGGGCGCUAAUACCGCAUACGUCCUGAGGUCGAAAGUGGGGGAUCUUCGGACCUCACGCUAUCAGAUGAGCCUAGGUCGGAUUAGCUAGUUGGUGUGGUAAAGGCCUACCAAGGCGACGAUCCGUAACUGGUCUGAGAGGAUGAUCAGUCACACUGGAACUGAGACACGGUCCAGACUCCUACGGGAGGCAGCAGUGGGGAAUAUUGGACAAUGGGCGAAAGCCUGAUCCAGCAAUGCCGCGUGUGUGAAGAAGGUCUUCGGAUUGUAAAGCACUUUAAGUUGGGAGGAAGGGAAGUAAGUUAAUACCUUGCUGUUUUGACGUUACCAAAAGAAUAAGCACCGGCUAACUUCGUG